CAUCACCGUACCAAAAAUUUAAAGCAUUUAACCUCAGUUUGACUGCAUUGGAGGUGCAAGAUCACACACUGGUUUAUCUUUUUGCUUCACCCGAUGUACAUCCCAUGUGAUGCAAAAAACUGAAAAUCUGGGUGGUAUACCUGAAGCUGUUUUAGCCAGUUGUCCGUGGCUUGUAUAAGGGAAUUUGCAUGUUGACACUCACUGACACCAUUUUGUGUCCAUAUGGAUCCUUUCAACUUAUAACACCCCAUUCUAAAAACAGGUAACGAAAUCUUUAGGAUGCCAUUAGCAUCGUCACGAUAUACUAAAAAUGGUGUUUGGCCAUUUCCAUUACCUACAAUGCCAAAUAAGGGUCAAGUUAAGAAGUUUGAUGGAAAUCUAUUGUGGGAAAAAGCACACCAAAACAUGUUGUAAGAUGCAUUAGUUUGAACUACAAUUCAAAAUUUUGUUAUAGCAGCAUCAAUGGCAUCGAGGAAGUGUCAAAACCAUCAUAUACGUCAUGCACUAGAUGAUGUAACUUUAUAUCAAUCUCAAAUAUGUAUAAGGAUGAAAGACAAAAAAGAUUCAAAAUGCAUCUAUAAGAUACUAUAUAGAAGAUAUUAACUUGAACUAAAAAAUUAAGAAAAAAAUUAUAAAUCUUUUUAUUUUAAAAAGCAUGUGGACAAAAAUUACUUAAGCAGUAAAAAUAUUUUUUAUGAAAAUUUCUGAAUUUUUUAUUUUUAUUUUUUUUUCAAAAUUCAGAGCAACUGAUAAAAGGAUGACGUCCUUAUAUUAUGAAGUUUCUCCCUUCGCGUGAAGCUUUUUCACUUGUGCUACAAGUUGUAGCAAUUGAUUCUUAUUUUUUUACUUCCAUUUCCAUUUCAAGCAAUUAAAUUUUUUAUACUUUCAUUUCCUUUGAAACUAUCCAUCUUCUACACAAAACCAGACAAAGCCCUGCCAUUAUCUUCUCUCUUCCUUUCGCCUUCAGCUUAUCUAAUUGACCAUUCUCCAUCAAACUCUCUGCACAAACAAACUUCUCCAUCAAACUCUCUGCCCAAACAACACAUGAAAAUAGAAGGAGAUAGUGAAAUUUUAUCUUCUCUCUUCCUUUCGCCUUCAGCUUAUCAAAUUGACCAUUCUCCAUCGAACUCUCUGCACAAACAAACUUCUCCAUCAAACUCUCUGCCCAAACAACACAUGAAAAUAGAAUUUCAUUUGUGUUGUUUGGGCAGAGAGCUUUCCACUUGCUUUCUAUGUUUAUGUUUAUUUUAAAAUUUCAUUGUCUCCUUCUAUUUCCAUUUCAAGUUAUUAAAUUUUUUAUACUUUCAUUUCCUUUGAAACUAUCCAUCUUCCACACAAAACCAGACAAAGCCCUGCCAUUAUCUUCUCUCUUCCUUUCGCCUUCAGCUUAUCUAAUUGACCAUUCUCCAUCAAACUCUCUGCACAAAUAAAUUUCUCCAUCUCACUCUCUGCACAAACAAACUUCUCCAUCAAACUCUCUGCCCAAACAACACAUGAAGUUUGUUUUUUUUUUUGGAGGAUAAGCAGUACCAGAGGAGCUUAAGGCCAUUCCAGUUAGAAUAUGCAGAAUCAUACUAUAUAAAUGAUGGUCAUGAACAUUUAUAUACAGCAAAACUGGAGGUGGUUACAGGAAGAGACCAAAAUACGGGCGAGGAAAUUGUAGAAAAUGUUGGGACGGGAAGGUUUACUUUAAAUGGAAGCCCUUGUGAUGUCGUCCUAAGUAUAUACGGAAAGGUUUGUUUUCGUUGGUGGUCAGCUCCUGAUGUAUGAUGUAUGUCUGUUUCCUGUAUGUUUGGCUGUAUCUUAUUAAGACUACAGUCACGAUCUAUUGCAACAAAUAUUGACUAAAAUGAAUCGAGAACAUGAAAUAACAACUAUAAUGUCACGGUAUAAUUGGAAGACUUCCAUUUUUUUUUUUUUUUUUUGAAUCAAUUUUCUGCUGGAUUUUAUUGGAGAAACCCAAAUAUAUGUCCAAAACACAGACAAAACAAACUUAACAAAAUAGAAAAAACAAAGCCCCAAUGCACAAGGCCCAAAAAGGAAAAAUAACAGAACCCGAACAGACGAGGCCUAAUCCAGCAAAAACAAAAGGAGUAUGCUCUGAAGUUCUAAAGACAUAAAUGAUUAAACACUUUCCUAUAAAUGCUCCCAACCUUUCAUCUGCUCUUCUUUCCUCCCUUCGAUUCUCCGGCUUCCGGCAUUCAUCUCCAACGCUCAUUGGCCUAGUUUACAGAGAUCCUCCUCCGAUCCUUCUCCACCAAUCCUCAUGUCCCACUGUUCCCCUUUUUUAAGUCCUUCUGUGGCCAACAUAUGUGCUACUCUGUUGAAUUUUAGCACAAAGGUCUCGAGUUUUUUCACAAAUUAAGGUAGUCAUCCAACUAAAUUUUUAAAUUGGAGUUGAUCUCUAAAAAUGGGGUUAUUUUGUACAUUGUGGAUUCCAUACCAGAUAAAAACAUUCACAAAGGUAUUUCAUCAACAAAAAUGCACCAAGGGACCCUUUCUCUUCACUUCUUCACAAGAGUCACCAUAUUGGUAUCGUUUGCAUUUACAUUUACAUUGAUUUCAUUGUUAAUGGGACUGGUGACAAUCACAAUCUAGGCAAUCACUGUGAUGCCAUCAUCUAAUGCUGCUUUUUGUAUGGACUUCGGCUACGUGUUUGAAGUAACAUAGGGAGGUAACAAUAAUUUAAAGAAGAAGGUCGACAGAGAAUAAAAAGCAAUGUCAUGGGCGAUGGUUUCGGCUUCCGGGGUUGAAUAGGAGCCUUACCAAAGGCGUUCUUCAGGACCUUGAACUCGGAUUUUCCAGACCCAUUUUCCCGUCUUGUUUUUCCUUCAACGGCGCUGCUUUCACUGGUACUAAUUAACCCUUCCCCAAAAAGAAUCAUUAAUUCGCAAGUUGAAGAAAGACAAAGUGAAUGGUCAUUAAUUAAUAUAAAAGGGGGUUAAGGCAAAUCAUUAAUUCAUAGGUUGAAGAAAGACAAAGUAAACGGUAUUUAAUUAAUAUAGAAAGGAGGUUAAGACGAACAUGAAGAUUGGAAGGGGAAAUAAAAAUGAACAGGCCAGGUAACAAAAGAGAAGUGGACGGUGUCUUCUACAGUUGUUUUGCAAGGAGGAUGAUACAUGGAAAAAUCAAAGUACAAUUCAUCCGUAAUGAGUGUUCUAUUUUACAAAAGAUAAUGAUACAUGGAAAAAUCAAAGUACAAUUCAUCCGUAAUGAGUGUUAUAAAAUGGCUUUUCUGUGUUUAAUAAAUUGAAAUUGACGAGGAAAAAAUGGAUCGGAGAGGAAAAGUAUCCUACAAUUGUCAAGGUGAUAAGGUAUUUUCAGAUUAUAAAAUACCUUAAGUUAGAUAAUAGCUCAAGGUUUCUUCUUCGAUACAAGCUGACGGAUCAAAUUGAAUUACUUAAUACAAACCUGAGGUAAAUUAUUUAAUUCAAACCAUAAUCUUAGUUGACUAGAAUGCAAUAGUUAAAUAACUUAAAUUAUUUAAUUUCAUGAAAACAUAAAAAAUAAAAUUUAAGACAAUUUCCCCGUACAACAAAUCAUGUAAAAGGUGCUCUAAAUAUUAUUCCCUAUAAAAUUUAGGACCCCAACCAACAGGUGUCGGUACCAUUUAAGAGGCAAUAAUUAUAUUUCAUUCAAGCUCUCUCCAAUCAGAACAUAAAAUAGGCUAGAAUACAUGAUUUUUUCAUAUAUGUAUAUAUGCAAAUAAAAGUUUGAACAAGUCAUUUUUCAUCUAUUUUGUAUCGGGUACAAUCUUUUUAGAGUAAUUGAAACAGUCAUAUUUUCAAAUUAUACUGGGAUAAAUAAGAACCUAAAAUAAUCCAAACAUAUAAUCAAAUUAAGGCUCCACUAAUUUUAAACGCGGAACGAUAUUCAUUGACUGGAGUUCCUGAAAAAUGACAUGAAAUGGGACAGAUGUUAGGUAACAGGGGGAAAAAAGCAAUGAAUGCAUAAGAAAAGAAAAAUAGUACAGAAGCCAAAAAAAGACAAUGGAACUGAAAAGUAUUCUUAUUAAAUGUGACAUGACUCUCCUAUAUCUCCUUUAACAUGUUUUGAUUCAGAAACCAAAUUGAAUGACAACCAAUAUCUGUAUUUGUAUCAUUGUUGGACAUAACUAAUACAACCCUUCAACAAGCAAACCAAAGUACAAAAGACCAUGAAAAAAACAUUCAAAGAGUUGAACGUACCCGUAUCUGACUUAAUCAAACUCCAAGUAACAUAGAUGAAAUGCAUGCCUUUCGACUACAUGUGUUCAGGAGUGGUACUAACAAGUGCCAUAUGCAUCGACAAGCAUUAUAGAACAAAGACGCUCAAUAAACAAAUGCCCUUUGAUUUCAGUAAGCAUUCUACUUUUUUUUAAGAAAAAAAACCCCAUAUUUUAUUUGAGUAGGUCAGAGUGCGGCGUGAUACUUUCAAACAUGUCAUUUGUAUAACAAAAAUGUUUGCCAAAGUCUACCUGGAUUAAAAGCUUGCAUGCGUAUGGUAGUUUCAUGCUAGAAACAUUUUCUCCAAUUUUACAUGAAGAACAAAACCCAAUUUUCAGCUUAUGGCUGUAGUAUCCUAUCAAACCACAUUUUCGGCAAACCUGUGUCAAAAGAUGGUUAUUAUGAGAUUGAAGCUGAUUCCAAUCGAGCAGUAAAAGUGUAAAAAGAAAGCACCAUAACAAAGAUAUUACAUCCGAACCAUUACAAAGUACAAAUUUACAUAAGGUGAAACUCAACCCGGACCCUCACCCUUUCGCAGCUGUGCCAAGGCCUCAUGGGCCCCAUCACCGGAAAAUUAUAGAUAAAAAAUAUUCAAGCGUAAUAAUUAAAUCAAUGUCAAGAAAUAUGAAAAUAACAGCUAUUUGUGAACUACAACGAUUAAUAUGAGCAACAUCAACGAGAAUUUUACUCUGGGUUUUCCAGACUAGAAAAAGCAAGAGACUUUUGCAACCUCUGGUCUUAAGAGACUAGAUAGAAUUCAAGUACGCACAAAGGCAAACUUUUGAGUAGUUAUAUCCGGAAGUGGUUUGAUGCUGGAUUUAACUUCUUAAGUGAAUUACGUGUGGAAAAUAUUACAAUAUAUGCUAAGUACCUUAAGCAUUAUUUUUGCUGCUAUUUCUCAAUCAGUAAAACAUAACAUUCCAAUCCAAUGCUCCAUAAUUCAAAACAAAUCAUGAACAGCGCAUGCACGUAGAAUCCAAUAACAUAAUUCACAUCCACCAAAACCAUAAUCAAAUACCUGGACAUCAUAUGGAUCGCUGGAUAACAUCAUUCGCUCAUAAAUCAACAUACUGGCACCAUAAGCAAUUAGACAAUCACGCUCCAUUUCUCCUACUCGCAACCCUGUGGAGAAAACAUACACUAGCCCACAGUUAUUAGAACAUUUAAUACUUCUUAAGGUAAAAUUCAUGAAAGAAUAUCAUCUAUCUGUGAGAAAAAUAACCUCCUUUUCGAGUUCUCCCUUCUGUAGGCUGUCUAGUUAACAUAACUCGAGGCCCAUUACCUCUGGCACGCAUUUUAUCAAGAACCUAAUGGGCAUAUCGCAUUUAGAAAGGAAAAUAUGCAAGUAUUAGACAACCAUCAGGUAAGCUAGAUAAAUAUGAAAUGCCACGCAUACUGAGCCUCAAUAUCACAUUAACAUGUCAAAGUAACAUUGCAGAACAAAAAUAUUCUCGUGAGGCACUAUUAACAGCAAGGUACUUUACUUGCCUAACAAAGACGUUAAAUACAAGAACAGAAAAUGAAUGAUGAUAUCUGAUAAGAGAGACAAUGAACAGGCUAUUUUUAAAGAACAGAACUAUAGUCACUGCUAUUUGAAAUGGUAUUCAAACAUAGCCACCUAGCGUGGUAUAAAUUGGUAUUCAGCUUAAUGGGGAGAAAGUAAAUGCGGGAGGAAUUAUAGUUGUUCCAUGGCUUCAGUUCUAUGAUAGACACAGCAUUAGCAAUCCAUAAAAGUCUUUCCUCAGAAAUUAAUGAAAAGGUUAAAAUCUAACCAUAUGCUUUAACUUCUGGUAGUAAAUUGGUCCCAUAAAAAUAUAAGCUUGUAAUGGAAAACCCGUAAUACCUGAAGCAAGUUUGCACAGAUAUUAGGAUGAAAUUGUAUUAACAACCUAUAUUAAUAUAAUGAAAAACUGGAACAGAGAAAUAAUAAGUUUCCAGCAUCUCAAUGAAUAAUCCAAGAUCACAAGUCAAUCCGGGAAGGUGAAACAAAAAGUAAUACAGAAUCAACGUAACGGUAAAGUUUACACUUUCUUCUUAUGUUACUCCAACUUUUUAAUGCUCUUGAAGCAUCUGGCUCUGACACGCAUGUUGGACACAUAUCCGGACAUGGGUAUUAAGUAAACCGGUUCAUGAGUUAAGCUAUCUGCCCAAACCCUAAGGCCCACACAAAAUUUGAGAGGGUUAUAGCAAAAAUAUUUGACCUAAAAAAUGGGCUUGGACAAAAAAAAGCCUAUUUAAAAUGUGGGCUGGGCUAAGACCUGAACAUCUAAGGCCCUAAACCCAGCCCAGCCCAUGAACAGCUUUAGCACCGAGAUAUGAUCCCCCAAGGACCCUCCAGAAACAAGAACAUUUUAGAAAUAGUUGGAACAUACACAUCUAGGACACAUCUCAUGCCCGACACUCACAAACGGGUCUGAGUAAUAGCUUUAUUCUGCUUCCUAUCAGAUUAUGACAUUAAGAUCAUUUCUACUCCAUUCUUUUAAGUUCAGUGGCAAAAAUCCUCAGGAAUUGGUCAUUUCUGAUUCUACUAAGAUUUGGAAGUACAUAUCAGUGACUAAAUAUUUCACAUCAAGGACCUAAAAAACUAGGUUUCUUCAAUGAUAUUGACUGCAGAUCAUCUUCCUGAAACAUCACAAAACAUAAGAAAAGCAGUACCACUAUUCUAGAAAUAAUUUUGUGCGCUACAAUCGCAAGGGAAUUCAAAUUCUUUGAAGGCAAGGCCUGCUUUUAGAAAACAUAGUUGCAUUUUUUAGGCCCCACUCUCUAAUCUUCAGUUUCAAUUCUAGAUUCUGUUUUACUCUUCUGUGUAUAUCAUCCAUAAUCAUAUAAGCAAUUAGGCAUUAAUAUCGGCAAGCAAUCAUAAAUUUAGACAUUCAUAUUGUACCACAACUUAUUGUCAGUUUGUCAAUGAUACCGCAACAGAUGAGUCCACAUCACUGAAGACGAGGUGCCAAUAGAGAUAGCUCUCAAUUUUAUUCUCUAACCAACCAUUUGAACUAUUUGUGACUUCUUAAAAAAAUUGGUUUGAAACUCUAGUUCUUGUCUCCUUGUUAUAAUCAAAGCGUAGACAUAUUCACAAUGCAUCAUUUGAAAUAGGAAGUUAGUAAUCUUGACACCUGCAGUAGGCUCCAAGUUUCAAGAAAAGGGGAGAGGAGGAAGGAUAGUAAACUGCAAAACCUGAAUAAAUGAAGUCCUUGCCAUUGUAACAGAAACCGUGCUUGAUGAGGGUUUCACUGAAAAAGUUAGAGAGGAUAUGAUAAAUUUGCUAUGCUUGCAAUGAUACACUAGAGGAGGGUUUAGGAAAGGAAGGUAGAAAGUAACCUUAUAGUUUCAACCUUAUCCGCAUGACCACUAGGCUCCCCGAAAGCACUACCAUAGUGGAACCUACCACAUGAAACUCCAGCUUUGCCUCCAAGAAGCUCUAUCAUCUUGCCUACAGUCAUUCGACUAACAAAAAAAAAAAAAUCAUAAAUAUGAGUCAAGCAACAAGUUGAAAGCUUACUGUGCUAGCAACUUAAUACCAUAAAUAAAUAUAAUUUAGUAGCUAACAGAAUAAGAAGCUUAUGAUGUGCUGGCAGCAUAUACAGUUUAGAGAAACAUGUAGAUUGGAUUUAAAUAUGUUUUGACUUGGAUAAUCUAUCAGUAAGGGAUUAAAAGUUGUCAAUUAGGGAUUUGGAGAUAGUUUAGGAGAUUAGAUUUCUUUGUUUUGUGAAGUUAUAAUAAAAAGAUCCCUAGAAUCAAGGAUCUCUAUCAAUUAAGGGAAUUUCAUACCGUAUUCAAUGGUAUGCUUUCCCGUUGAUUGCCCUUGGAAUUAUUGGUGUUUCUAAUUUCAACAUUUCUGUUUAGGCAUCUUAAUUGGACAUGUAGAUUGAUGCUAUAUGUUACUUGCAUAACCAUUUGGAAGGUACAGCCCACAAAUGAAGCUUGAUUUAUGGAAAUGACUGACUAGCCUCUUUUCUUUUUCCUUUUACCAAGGUGGGGAGAGAAAAUCAUGCUUAAAUCGACCCAUGGUGUUAUUUAGUUGUUCAUGCAUAAGAACAUGUCUCAAUGAGAAAAGAAAGUGACAGAAUCACAGAAAUGGUUGUUCAUGGAUAAUGCAACAGAAAUAUUUGUAAGAGAACGCUUUCUCAGGUGUUUACCAGACCAAGAAACUGUCUUUUAUAGCCAACAGGAGCUACAGAAAGACCGUAGAGGUAAAUGCCUGAGAUUCUAGACAUUCGGAUCAUAACAUUUUUUAACUAAAAUAUAAGAUAUUACCUUGGAAAACCAUGAGGAUUCAUAAUUAAAUCGGGGCAAAUGCCACGCUCUGAGAAGGGGAGAUCUUCCUGCUGAAUGAUAAUGCCGCAGACACCUUUCUGGCCAUGUCUGCUACUAAAUUUGUCACCAAGCUGAGCGAAUACAUAGCAAAAGAGCAACAAAAAGGAAACAAAGUCAACCCUGGUUUUCCAAGGAAAAAUAUUAGAUAAUGAAGCCAAAUCAAUAUUGCCUACUUCAGGUCGACGUGUGUGGCGUAUUAAAAAUUUUAUUGAUAAAUUUCCAUUCUGAUCAGAGCUAAGAGCAACUCUAUCCAGUACACAAGACUCUCCUUCAGGACCUUUAUACAGUUGCUUUGCAGGUCUACAAGCACUGCAAAUUGAAAAUUGGUAAGAAAUUUUUCACAACAACAAAAGAACAACAACAGAACCGGCCAGAAAUUAAACUAACCUAUCCAUUAGAGGUUCUGAAGAUAUUGGAAUCCCUCUUGUAUGAAUAGAGACCUUAUUAAGAAGGAUGUCAUUUGGUCUAAUAAUCUCCCCAGGAGCAGCAAUUCCAUCAUCAUCUAAUAUCUACACAAAGAACUUCACAAUUGAAAUUUGAUGGAAAUCACAAAAAGGAUCUAUUUUUAUAUGUAAAGGAAUCCACUUGAGGCAGACAGAAGCGGCUUUAGGAAGAUAUUACGAGAUAGCAGAUAUAUUUUCACAAUUGGAAAUUAAAACUGAUUGAGCCAUUAAUAUUGCCUUUGCUAUCUUUGGACAUGCAAAAUGUUUUUUUAACAACUUAAUCUAAAGGGGAACAACGUCAAAAAUCAAAGACAAUUGUGCACCAUUUACCAGUUGCCGACUGAGCAGAAAAAACUUUUCUUCAAAGGCAUUUUCAUGUAGAUGUUAUUGAGCUAGUUAAGGAUCCUCCGUAUUCAUGGAAAAAUUCAGAAAAACUGAACAUAACUGUGCCAAACACAUCCAUAUCCAACAGUUACAACUGAGUCAAAGUAACUUAGCUACAAAGUAUGCAACUUUAAGCUGUUUUGUGAGCCAAAAAUCAAGACAUGAUACAGUACUAGACUCCUAAAAAUGUUUUCUACAACUACAGAAAGUAUAUAACUUCCUCCGUCAACUACCAGUAGACCCCUUCAAUAAGAAAAUAAAAAUUUUAGAGGGUUCUAUUACAAAAGCUAUCCCUUUUAAUGAAAAGGCUCCAAGUGUAUAUGUUUUAAAAAUGCCAUCUUUUGAUAGGAGGAAUUUUACAACAAACAGAAUCCUAGACUGCUAUGGCUCAACUUUGGAAGGGGGCAUACGUUAACUUUAAGUGACUGAGUGACUGCUGCAUAAGACAAUUGAUGGACUCCUGAUGACAAAUUCUUAGGCUUACAGUUAAGAAUUUUUCAUUUUUUUUAGUCACUUUGUAUAUUUAUAUAUAUAUAUGACUUUGGAAUUUGAUCAAAUAUGAUAUACAAGAUUACAAUUUCAAAAUUCUUCAGUUACAAAUAUAUAUAUUGAUAUAAUAGUAAUGGUGAGUAAUUAAAAGAAGUAUGUAAUUUCAUCAAAUAAAAAAUGCUUAAAAAACCAGUAAUUUGACAAUGCAAGAAUUUAAUCAUGCAGUCAGGAAUAAAGUAAGGCAUUGCCUGCAUCCUCUCGGAACCAGGUCCGGUUCUCUGUGGCCUAAGAAUACUGUCGGAUGCACCAGUUCGAGAUUUCUGAAUAAUGUUAGAAUACCUGCUCAACAUAGAAUGUGGAAGAGAACAUGUGAUUGCUAAGCCAUGAAAGAUUAGAAUGUUCUAUCAGAAUAUUACAAAUGUGAAAAAGUUGCAUACUUUUUCAUCACAUUACAACGCCCAAAACCACGGUCUAGAGAAGCCUUGUUCAUGACAAUAGCAUCCUCUAUGUCAUAACCACUGCAACUCAUGACUGCAACAGUUGCAUUCUGACCAGCUCCAAGCUUAUCAUAUCCAACCUGAAAGCAAAGGCAGCAAAUUUACGGGACAAAAUGUUGUGAUCAUGCUCUACAAUAUACAGACUACUAACCAGUUCAAUUGUCCUUGUUGUCACUAAAGGCCUCUGAGGAUACACCAAUAUAUUAAGUAAUGUGUCCAUCCGACAUAACUACAGCACAAAAGAGACUGCCUCAGCAAAGAAAGAAUAUUUUGAUAAAAGUACAAGGACAAAGUUCCAUGAUGGAAAUCCUGUAGAAAUUUAAGAAGAUAGAAACUGACAAAAAAAACGUAAACAUAAAUACUUAAGGCAAAUGCCCUCUGCCUCAAAUACUUAAGGCAAAUGCCCAUCUCUAGUUUAAGAUAGAUAUUUCACAGAAAACAUGAGUCAUCUUUCAGAUUUUAUGUGUGUGUGAGCAUAUAACUUGCACAAAGUGAUAUCAGAUUAUUUAAUCAUUUUAAGGUAAGCAUAAUAUAUAACUUGAAGAGUGAUAUCAGACUAAUGAAAACUUCAUAAAUUUUAUCUUGAAUUCAAGCAACUGUAUUUUGUGAAAUACAAGGACUCUUUGCUCAAAAGCAGGGAAAAAAAAUAUCAACAGAAUAGCAAAUAAUACUGCUUGCCUGGUUAUAUGCAAUAUUUCCCAUUGCUUGCUUCCCCAUUGCACACUACAAAUACAGAAGAAAAAUUUGGAGAUGAUAAGAGCAAAAAUUACCGUUCACGGUUAUGUCAUGUUCAAGAUAUCAGAAAGUGAUGUAAAAAACCUAAUAGGUAUUUCUUGGUGACUGAUUAUGAUGAGGAUACGGAAUCAACCCAGCAUUAACACCUAAGAUUGUGAAAGGCUCUAUCUCAAUAUGAGUAGUUUCAGGUGUAACCUCUCCUUCAUACAAAGCAAUCUAAAAACAGAGAAUCAUGUUUCCAAAAGUCAAAUAUAUAAAUUGUAACAACUGAAUUAAAAACCUUUAAAACAUCAGGGGAAACAAACCAAAGCAUUGUUCUCCUCGUUGACAUCAAGAUACUCAACUAAUCCAUCACCUAAAAAGUCAUUAAAAGUACGGACUCCAUCCUUGAUAAGCACAAAAUUUAGAAUUAGUUUUCAACCAAGAUUAUUCUCUUUGGAUAAAAUAGGAAGCAUAACUCUUACCAGCAACUCCUUCAUAUGGUGUUCUUUGAUCCUCGAUAUUCCCUUGUCAACUAUUACCAAUGGUCGACAAACUCGACCUCCAUCGGAAGAAAUAUACACACACCUCUGAUCAACAAUUUCAAAUCUCAAGAAUCAGUAAAUAUUUAAAAUAAAAGCUGGAACGAUGAAAACUACCAGUCAUACCUGCAGCCUAGUCCAAUUUUAAAAAAAGAUCAUAGAAAAAAAAUAUAACCACAUAUGGAGACAGGAACACCACAAUUUAAAAGGGAUUAGAUUAGACCAUGGACACAGUGGGAUUUAGCUUUAAUAUAUGUGAGUUCAUGCGUGCAUAUGCAUGUAUACAUCAUGUAACUAUGUGGCGAAGCUGGCAUUUGAAAAAGAAAUCAUCCACAAUUCUUUUUCUUCUCCAUCUUAAAGCUAGUUUUUGAGCAUAUACCCCACAGCUUCUCUGUAAAGAAUCCCAUCGCAUAAUUACUGAGAUAAACUGAUUUAUCUUCUACACUUUCUACUGUAUAGUUGUUAUUUAUUCAACUUCCCAUGAUAGGUGAGGAUUUAAACAUCUAUUCACAGGCCAUUUAUUUUAAAUUCCUGAAAUUACCCUCUAAAAUAUAAGUUUUGAAAAUUAUAAACUACACAGACAUGAGACAUACACAUGGGUAACAACAAUGCCAUGUAAUAGAAAUGAUAUGGCAACCCAAAUUUUAAUACAGAAGCUUCUACCAGGGACGAUAUUAAAGCAAGAAAGAGAUCAACCAGACUUGUUACACUGAAGAUUCACAAAAGAACUGCAGCUUAAAGGAUUCUCUUGAACCCACCAUUAAAUCACCUUUUGCAUGGAUACAGAGUUACAGAUGGGGAACUAUCCCACAAACAAAAAUGCAACAAUCACUCAUACGAGAUCUUACAAGAAGUAGAUGAUAAAGAACAUAAUAAAUUGUCAAAACUACCUAAGAGCCAUUUCUUUGAAAAAACAAGCUAACUACAAGAUCAACAUUGGGCUUGACUCCUGUCUAUUACUUUCUGGAUCAGCAACCAGUACAGCCCACAAAAACAGAUGAGUGCAUUAAUUAUUGUUAGAUCAAAAAGCAAAAGAGAGGACAGCAAAACAAAUAACCGAUCUUUAUAAACUAGAAAACAUAACGGUUUUUAUUCCAAACAUGAGCUAAAAUCAUAAUUCUUCUGCUUAAGACUACCUAGAUGCAUUUGAAAGUUGAUCUUGGCCUUAGUUUGUAUAUUAGGUGAUUAAGACUACAGAAAGCAUAGUUAUGCAAACUGAAGGAAAAAUUAUACAAUGACACACAAAAUAGUUAAAUAGCUUUUAAGUGGAAGAAAAUUUUACCUGCUUUUCAUUUACGAAGACGCUCACAAACUCACCAAUUUUGCCAGCUCUUCGCAGCUUUCUCAGAGCAUUAGCAAAAUGCUACAUAGAGGGGAGAGACAUUAUUAGACUGGUGGAACAAAGUUACUAAAUAUAUGCAUAAAUUUUACAAAACAAGUAUGCACGUCUAGGAAUUGAAGAACGAUCAGGAAGUUCCAAAUCCUUUUAUUUCAGAGUAUAAAAUAAUUGCUAAAACACUAAAAGAAAAUGUUAUUCAUAUCAAGAAGUGGUUUAAACAAAAUAGAGAAGGUUUUAGAAUGCUAUGCAAUCAAAGGAUACCUUCCAACCUGAAAAAAAGAUGCUAUAUAAUGACAUAAUACCAAGUUUUUUGUCCUAACAAAUCAGGGCAAUGAACAUGCUAUCAUACAUUUAGAGGACUUAGAUGAGUAUGUUAAUUUUUUUUUUUUUAAGUUUUUCCAUAUAUUUAGAGGAUUCUUGGAGGUGCAUAUCCACAUACAAAUUUCUAAAUAGCCUUGGAAACAGGUGACAAACACAAACACAUUAAGAAAAUGAAGAAUCGGAGCAACAAAGGACUAGUUGAUGCUGCAAUAGAGAAUGAUUUUGAAGUAGAGCAUUAUUAAAAAGUGAUAUCAAAAUAUUUGAAAAAACGAAGACUUCUUUCUCAUCGUUCAAAAAUUCUUACUAUAAGUUCGUAACAGCUUCUUUUUUCACUUAACUCUUGUCAAAAACCUAAGCUCUGGGGAUUUAAAAGCUUAAUUUCUGCUAUUACAAAUGGCAAAGGCUGUUUGGCAGAUCUCUAAAGCAGAGGAAAACCCCAGAGUUUCAUACAAACAGGAAUUAUAUCCUUAUUAACUUAGGAAGGUACUAGUUGGGAAAAAAAAUCUGUAAGAAAGAUCAUCAACACAUAGUCGCAUCUACGCACUAGUACACAACAGUGAUUUAAUGCAAGCAGAUACAACUAUAAAGGUAGCAAGGAAAAAUUUGUUAUCUCAAAAUUUUUCUGAAGGGCAUAGCUUUAAAUCAAGCACAAAAAGAAGCAUUACAUAGGUAACAGACAGCUAUAGAUUUAGAUUAAAGUUGAUGAGCUGACUUUGGAUAUUAAUAUAUAAAUUUUUACUGAUAUAAACUUCUUAGCACCAUCUUCUUCAUUUUUUUUUCUUUUUCCUUCUUUAGGGAGUAUGGCCUUAAACCUAGCAUCAAAGAGAAAAACCAUCUGUCCAAGAGUCUAAACCAGUUUCAAAUUAUAUUUCAGUUGAAUUGAGAGACUUUCAUAUGUGUAUAUCAAUGUUUUAGGCAUCAAAGCAACACCAAAAGCACCUGUGGCCUUCUAUGUUUGCCAAGAAUCAGCCCAUUUAACAUAACCAGGAAUGAAUUUGGCGUAUGAAGCUCUUCUCCUGAUAGUAGCUCCAUGUCUUCAACCCCCAAGCAAUAGCACUACAAUAGAAACAAUACAAUGAAUUUAAAAUGUGAACAUAGGCAGGAUAAUAAUAUCACUAGGCAAUAGAUAAGGACUAAGCCAUUGGAUGCGUCAGUUAGAACUGAGAUGCAAAAUAACUAUCUUCCUCGAGUCUUGUUUCUAAAUUUAGUUACAAACAAGUUGAAGUAAUGACUGAAAUAUCUAACCAAAUAUAAUGCCUUAAGUUAUUGAAAUAAUUGAUUAAAUUUUAAUAUCUUCAUUGAUUAUAAUAAUAAAACCAAAUCAAAUGAAUAAAUAAUCUUUAGAUUGUAAAUAAAAUGCCAACAAGAAUUCUGACAAUUUUUCUGAUCGUAGAACAAAAAUGACAGAUUCAAUAGCAAUAUAAUAGCCAUGAAUUAACCUUGUAUGAAAAAUAUUAUGAUAUUUUCUUCUUAUUUGAUCCUAUCAAUUAAAUAAUUACAAUAAUAAAACAAAUGUGUGAAAUAACAUAUUAGUUAUUACUAAUUUUAACUACAAUCAAUCUUGAUACCCAAUUAACCUUGUAUGAAAAAUAUUAUGAUAUUUUCUUCUUAUUUGAUCCUAUCAAUUAAAUAAUUACAAUAAUAAAACAAAUGUGUGAAAUAACAUAUUAGUUAUUACUAAUUUUAACUACAAUCAAUCUUGAUACCCACUACUUUAUUCUUUUGAAGUUAAUUUAAUUCUUCUUCUUUUUUUCUUUAUUCUUUGUACUAUUCUUGACCUUACAGUUCAUCCUCUCCAAAUUAGGUUUUCUUUUCUUUUCUUUUCUUUUCUUUUCUUUUCUUUUUUAAUUCCAAAUUGGUCAUCCACAGCACUUGUCACUGUCUCCUUCCACUGUCAACAAUCAAAUCAUUACUACGCUUUUCUUUCCUUUCAAUUUUAACUUAGAUAUAAAACUCUAAGCCUUUCAAACUCGGAGCAUACCUUAGUUGGUUCAUGCAAUCACCUUAAGAGAUGGCAUCUGAGAAAGUCUGGUGUUUAUAUCCCAGUAUUUGGAAACCCUUCCCCAAUCCCCAAGAUAGGACCUUCUUUGUACCAAGAAAAGAUAUCCAAGCACUACUCUUGAAUUUCUUUCCUAUUUUAUGAUCAAAUCCCUCCUUAUACGUAUUAACUUCAUAAGCAGGUUAAAAAAGUCGAAAAUAUACAUCAAUUGUUUUUUGGUUCUUUUCUCAUAGUAAAUAUUCAACAUGCUAGAGCUCCAUCCCAUAGUAUUUUUUUUUCCGUCAAAGUAUUUCAAGCUAUAUAUAUUACUCCUCGGAAAGAAAAGUUUUCUUUAUAUCAAAUUGCUUUAAGCUACACAGAUAUUUUUCUAGUUUGAUUAGAAAUUACUUGAUGUGAUGAAACCACGGACCAAGUAACCAACCCGAAAUAAGAAACAUAGAAGCUUGAAGUGGUUAGAGUUGACAAGGUACUAGAAUCUGAACCAUACUGAAAACAUCCCUAGCAUUUGAUAUGGUAGUAUCGUGUUGCUCAACGGAUUUCCCAUAGCAAAUAAGAACUUCUAUAUUUUAGGACCAAAGACUUGUCUGAUAUCAACAGGAAAUAUCUCCUCGCUAAUUACUUUAGAAUGAUGUUAUUCCUAUGACAACGACUUCACAGACGGUGAUAUUAAAAGCAUAAUUAUGAAUAGUACUUCAAAAAGAAGAGAGAUUAAUUGUCCUGAUAGCUCGAGAUGCUUGUUCCCCAUAUAAUCCUACAAAACAAAGGAAAACCAUUUAAAUGGCCAGCACAAGUAAGCUUACGUAUAUUAAAAUAUUCAUCAACUUUCAUGUUUCCACAAGCUCCUUGAACUCAGGAACAGCUAGGAUCUAUGACACACUGCAACUGAUUUGCCUUGGAAAGACAAACAUGGAAAAAAGACAAUAAGCAGCGCAGUUAUCUGAAGGAUGAGCCAAUUCCUUGAGAUAAAAAUCAUAAAUCAAUGUGCAAUGCAACCCUUCAUACAAAACACUUUUAUCUUAAGGGUAUCUGGCUUUCUCUUUGCUUGGAGGUGACCUUGGUUAGACUAGAAAAUUGUUAUAAAGCAAUUUGACCGGGAAGACUAAAGAUAACACGGUAGCAACUUUGAGAAGUAAAAGUAAAGUUGAGAGUAUAUCUUUGGAGUUCUAAAUGAGUAGAUUGAAAGACUGCAAAGUAAAUAAUACCUUGUCAUCCAUUGCAUGCUUAUUUAAUGUUGCCUCCAUCAUCCUUCUCAGCAUAACCGCAACAUACAAGCAUUUUGGACGCAAAUUAUUGCAACGCACCUAAAUGAAGGGGGAAAUAUGAAAAACAAUUGUCGAUGUCAAAAUGCUGCCAUUGAAUUUUGAAAACUAAAACAAAACCUACUGGAACAUUGGCAAGAAAGAUAUCUCGAAGGAUCAAAAAAGCUCCCAGUUCCUACAAUAAAUAAAUAAACUAUCUCGUUAGCAUAAAUUACAAAAACAAUGCUGGCAGCAUAGUACCUUAUUUUCUUCUUUUUCAUUGGUGAAAGCUCUCAAUCACAUAUAUAUGUGCAAUAAUGCAAACACGGCUAUUUAUCCAGAGAAAGACUGGGGAGGAAGACCUGAGUUUUCUGCAAAAGAAAGCAAUCAAAUUGAAAAUUUGAAACAACCUGAAGUAAUGAAACAAAAAUGAAUAAGAUAUAUGCGUGUAUACAUAUUCGUACAAAAGCAACGAAUGUAUAGCAAAAGGAAAACCUACAAACGAAAUUAAGACUAAAAUGCAAUAGUUAUACACCAUUUCUGUUUGUAAAGCUGAUAAGACUAAAAUUAAAUAAAAUUAACAUAAAAACAUCUAAAUCACCUUCCAAUUCCGUGUAGUGCACUGAAAUCUAGAUAUUAAAAGCUAAAUUCAUAAGUUUUUUCACAAACUAACCGAAGAGUAUUGAACCUUCGUAUUAAGGUACGCCAAUGCUUGUUCUUGGGUAUAUAUGUCAAUACGUGCACAUUCCUGAAAAGGAACAAAUAAAUAAAUUAGGAAAGCGGCGCCAUGUUAAGACAAGAAUAACUCCAGAAUGGCCGAGAAUACAAUGUUUAAAAAUAUUUUAAACAGGCCUGAAGGCGCACACCAUGUUACAAAAUUGAAAUAAUAGACGCAGAUAAUUUUUAUGACGCCAAUGCUUAAAGAACAAAUCAUAAAACAGGUCACAAAAGGUAGUUGGUCAAAUUAGUUAGUGAGGUGUUCGUAUGCAAUAACCACGGCCUUAGAAGCAGUACACAUUACCAAGGUAGGAAACAUCUGAUCUAGAUAAGAGUUCAAACAGGGUUCAACGAAAUGCCAAAACUGAUAGACACAUUACAAAACAUUCAAUGACAUUGCGUAGAAAGGGAUUGAUAUGUACAAACUGCAGGUUUUAGAAUGGAUGUGCUUGUGAAAAAUUAUAAGAACACAAAAAAUAUCACCAAGGAAAUGCUAUGGAAAACGGAUGAGAUAUGAUUCAUUUCAGAAAUUUAAAUUCAGCAUAAUUACAAACGAAUGUGACUUUUUAUAGUUGAGGGUGGACUUGAGAGCUAUGUUGCUCCGACUAUUCAUUUUUCUAGAAAUACCCAUGCGCUUAACAAGACAUGGGAAUGGGGAGGUGAUCCUCAAAGGGCCCACCAAAUACAUAGAAACCUUUAAAAGAUUGAAUAUAACCAUGUCAAACACAUACCCUUGUUUGACACUCACACCCGAGUAUGAGUAACUUAGCAUGAGAAACUUUUCAAUUUCCUUGAGAAAUCGUGAGACAGCUAAAGAAUCCCACCAUUAUCCACAUAAGACCCCCAUAGCAUGCUAGCCAUUUGCAAAAGACAUUUCAGGAAGCUAUUACCGUUCUUGUAAAUAAUACAAAAUAUGAACAGGUUCAUAUCCUUAACCAUAUAGCUUACCUCUAUAGAAGGUAAAAGAAGAGCACUAUAACAAGGAUCAGCACCAACCAUUUGCAUAACCUCUUGAUCACUCUCUAUCCCCAUUGCUUUCAUGACCACCAUAAUAGGGAUCUAUGAGAAAACAAUACUGAGUCAAACUAAGGUUUAAGAGUGCAACAUGAAUAACUCUUCAGGGAAAAAAAUAAGGAAACUUAGAAGAGAAAGUAAGGUGCAACAAGACCUUUUUCACAAAUUGGUUGAGUAACAAAUAUAUCUUCUCUUUGUCCAUCUUAAUAACUGUUCGGCUUUUUAUUGUUUCCGAUAUGCUUGUUACAGAUGCCGUUAUACUGGGGGCAGAGAGCAAAAAAAAAAAAGUAAAGAGAAGAUAUUCCACGAGUAAAAUUCAAGGAUCAAGUAAAACUGACAUAAAUUAGAACAAUGCAAUGGUAGGAAAAUUGAUAGGAAUGGAAACUACUGUAACAAAAUGACAGCUAAACUAAUAUGGCUGAAGAUAUUUGUAUGAUGUAUCGAACAAGUAGAUAUGUCAAUAAAAAUAUUACAGUCCCAAGUUGACACAAUAAGUCCAUAACAAGAUUUAGCUCAUCCUAUAUGCCAAAGUGAAUGCAUAAAUACUUCAUGUUUUGCACACAUAAUAAUAAUAAUAAUAAUAAUAAUAAUAAUAAUAAUAAUAAUAAUAAUAAAAAAGCAAUAUAAAGUUUUACAUGCUAAACUUGCACUGCAUCAAUAGAAGUCACUGUUCCCUUAUUAAUCAUUCCAUGAACUUCAAAACAAAUUUCCAACAAGCAGUGAUGCUAAAUGACCAGAAGCUAGACCAAUGUUAAUUAGUUAUUGCUAAGAAAGCCUUUGAUUGUUUGUAUAAUCAUUAGUAAACAAUAAAAUAUAUGACAAAUUACACUAUGACUUUAAGAACAACAAGACGAGCAAAACUUUAACCUCCUACCUUACACACUUCUACAACCCACGAUAAAUUUUUAAAAGCGGAGUUAUAUAUGGAACCAAGGAAAUUCUAGUAAUGCACAUGAUAAGGGAGUGGAGCGGUCAAUUGUCAGCAAGACAUAAAAAUUUGAAAGACAACUCACUUUCCCUUGUUGUCUGCAUCAAUAAUUAUCCUAUUCUUGGCUAGCUGUUCACGUAUUGGAAUCACCUGAAAGCCAUUGGCAGAAUCAUAACAUUACAAUGACAAAGAAGUACCAAGAAACAAAAAAAUAUACAUAACUGAAAAACAAGAGACUGCCAAGAGAAGAGAGAAAUAAAAUGCAGUUCCAAUGAAGAAGAAUUUGAAAAGAAAAAGUAUAAAAUAAAUAUGGCAGUCAGUAUGUCUGUUUCGGACAAUUUAAACUCAUAAAGAACAUAAAAAUGUAUAUUUUUUUGCUUAAGAAUAAUUCAUAUCAUGGUUAUUGGGACAUAAAAUUUGAAAUGCAUAUUCUUCUUAUUAGAUUUUAAAGUUGCUGUCUUGUCAUCAUUGAAAUGAAAAGGUAAAAAUAAGAAAUUUCUAAGGAUGAAAAAACCAAAUGGAUUUGGCAUACAUUUAUAUAGGUGUGACUACAUGUACAUCAUCACUUCAUCUUAGCAAAAUCUUAUCUAACAAUCCACAGAGAAAAAUCAAGAACAUUUUGAUAGGUCCCGUUCAAAAUACUAGAUCACAAGAGGCAAAUCCAGAAAACAUAGAAGAACAGCGCCACUAACUUUGUUUUAAUUUUCAUCCAUUCAAUAUAUGAUUCACCAACUUCUUCACUACAAAUUUCUGGCCCAUCAUGAACAUUAUGUAUGACACUUACCGUCCAACUAAAAGCACGUUAUAGUGAAUGAGAGUGUAUAGGUGUGCAUGGAAGUGAAUAAUAAAGCAAUAGAUAUGUGAAACAUGGUCGGAAUUACCUUCUCUGCUCCAUUAAUAAUAAAAUACCCACCGGGAUCAAGAGGGCAUUCACCUGAUAUCAGAUAAUGAAAUUCAAAUAUAUAAUAACAAGAAGACAAUUAGAAAAGCAACAGCCAUUGUUUUGAGUUUAAUGAACACAAACCAAGCCUUGCAAGUUCAGCUUCGUCUUUUCCAUAUAACACACAGCGGCAACUUCUUAACAUGAUCGGCAUUCUUCCCAUAACAACAUUUUUCUGCAGGGGACAGAUUUUGUAUUACAUCCAAAGCACCUACCAUUCUGCAUCAAUCGUCAUACACACAUCAAAGAAGCAUCUCGUGUACCUUUUCUAGUCUAGUUCUCUGCCCAUGACUCUCUUGCAUGUACUCUAUGUCGGCGAAUAUCGGUGCAGCAUACCUUAAAAAUUAACAACAUAUUAAUAAGACAAAACAGAAAAUAUGUAUAACUCACUAUUCCAUAUAAAGUUUUAGUUGUUAAAACACCAAAAAGAAUCAAUUCCACUAAUGCCUAUAUGAAAUAGUUCAACCUGGAAAAUUAUACAUGUAUUUAGAGAAAUCAUUUGUACAUACGUCAUAUCUGCGAGGCGGCAUGUAUGGGGAUUUAUUUUUUCAUAAGUCGUCAUGGAGGGAUUACCAAUUCUAACAUCAUUAAACCUGCACAGCAACACAAGAUACAGUUGAAUUAGAGCAUAGAAAGAAAAUCCAAAUUCAAAUCAGACCACUUGCUGUUUUCUCCAUAAAAAAUGUUACUAAAAAGAAAAUUCCUCAUAUUUGGUUACAACUGAGCAAAUAGUUAAGCAAUAACACAUCCGAAAUUAACUAUUAUGUACAAAAAUUAAAUGUAGCACGUGAUCAUUCCAAAAGAACCUUUCUUUUGUUUUUGGUUUUUUUUGAAGUGUAACAAUAACAAUACAAUGAAAGUAGGAAUACAAGUCUGAAUAAUCACAAGUAUCAAACUACUGCAUACGGACUGUCUAAGUAAUCACAAUACAGAAUAAACCAUUGCAUCACAAAUAGACUAAAAAUCGAUACAAUCCAAACUAAAGCCAACAAACUCACUGACUAAGACCUAUGCAACCAUCCAGACGAGACUUGGAGACCUACACAUAUAAUUACACAUUGUAGGUCUCAAACUUGAAUGCAUAAGACCCAAUGCCUUCGUCUUUGUUUAAAAAAAAUAUUACAUUUUGCUUCACACACACAAUACACACAAAAACAAAAUAACAACAAGAGCCGACAUCGGCAAGUUGGCAAAAUAUAUUUUAUAGAAAUCAUAACCAAAAACAUAAACAAAAAUACUUUCAAACCUGAGGUAAAUAGCGGGGUCAAUAUGGGAUACAAUCCGGUCGUUGGCACUAACAACCUUCUUGAUUCCAGUAUUAACAAAAUAAUUAAAUGAAUCGAAGUGCUGCUUCACUAACCCUCUAACCUAUAGUAAGAAAAAAAAAGCCCAAAUUUCAUAAUUCAGUUAAAUAAUAUAAACACUUUCACAUAAAAUAUAUGCCAAAUUAACAUCAAAUCACCUUUAAAAACUCAGGGAGAAUCUGAAACUUGUCAACAACCGAUUUUAUUGGAGCAGCAAGCUUUUGCUUGUCCACUGGUAUCUCAGACACGUAUAAGCUAUAGGUGUUUCCCAAGAAACAAAAGACAAAUUAAUCCAAAUCAAAUUAUAUUUCGUUAAAUAAUUCAGAUAUGAAAGGAAAAACUUACUUAUUGGUGUUGUUAUUGAGAAAUAUAUCUUCUUGCUUGAGUCUCAUUGUAGUUAAAUUGUUGUGGUUUUUUGGAAUUUGAUUUUUUUUUUUAGCAGAACUACACUGAACCUACUCUGCAGGGUUUGUUUUUAGAACACUAAAACCCUAAAGCUGUCGAUUUGUGGAUGGUGAACUCCUUUUCCUUAGAGAAAAAAUCAACAAUCACAUUAAAUUACUCAUUAAAUAUGCACGAAUAUAUUCAUACUUGGAUCAAUAUGAAUCUGUUUAUAAAGAAAAUAAGGAAUUUUGGAUUUAACAGUGAAACUAUUUGUGAAUUAAUUACGUUUAUUACAAUAAUAUAAAAAUCAAAUCUUCAAUAUUUGAUUCCAUCAUAUACUUUCUUGUAAAUUUGGAGCUCUUUUUAUAGGAAAUCAACUAUUUUAUCGUCAUCUCCAUUAUGGAUGUUUUUCACUUUGUUAAGAAAAUUAUAAUAUCAAAAUAAAAUAUUUAUAAUUUAAAAGAGUUAAAAAAAUUACAAUUUUUUAACAAUUUUUAUACCACAAAACUUUUUUUUUUUUUAAACAUAGGAUCGUCUCCAAUUUUUUAUUUAAGUUUAAUGGAUCACCUAUUUUUUUAACAAAAUUUAAAAUCAAUUAAAAUGUAUAACCAACAUCACAUUGACAAACACCCGAUAAAAACACUAAAUAAUAAUCUAAUAAUUAUUUUAAAAUGUAAUAUUUAUGCCUGUUGUUUCUAAAAAAAAUUAAGAAAAUAUAAAUAUUUUUGUUUUAGAAAUAUGUUUUCAAAAAUUACUUAAAUAGCUAAAAUGUUAUUUUCUGAAUUUCUGAAAUUUUUAUUUGUUUUCAUUUUCAAAUUUCUGAGCACUUUAAUGACAUUGAAUUGACUCCUAUUUCAAUCUUCAUUUUUGGUAACAGAAAAUACUAGGGCAGUGUUCGGUAAGGUUCAAAACUCAAAAGUAGUAUCAAAGAAAUUGACUAUUUGGAAAAAGAAAUAUCCUGCAAGAGAGCCCGACAUAUUUCAUAUUUGACGCAGAGUACAAUUUUGAGAUGGUACAAGUCCUUGUAUUUUUUGUUAAUUUGAAAUUUAAUCAUUGCAAUUUUAUUUUUAUAAAUUUAGUCCUUUUACAUUUUAGAUUUUAAAUUUCAAGUCAAUUUGUUAAUAUUGUGAAAAUAUCUUUUUAAAUUCAGGUUCAUUACAAUAUUAUUUUUCAAUUACAUGACUAUCAAGUGAGUGUUUAUUUUAUUCCAAAAUGUCAUACCAACAAGUUAAUGAAAUAUAUUUAACGAUAACCUGAAUUUUGAAAUCUAAAAAGUAAAUAUAUUAAAUUCUUAAAAAUAAAAGCACAAAAUUAAAUUUCAAAUUUAUGAAGAGUACAAAGAUGGUAAAAGCACCAUGGAGUCCCCUAUACAAUGAGUCGGAUUACAUUUUACCCCCUCUACUCAAAAAAUGGACAAAUUAAUCCCUACAUGUUAGAUCAAAAAGCAAUUUGGUUAUCCUAUUAAAAACUUAUAUCAAUUUUUACUAUUAAAAAUUGACCCUUGUGCAUAAAUAUUAGAUACACAUGGCUUGUUAUAUGUCACCGCUUUGUUUUUUCGUCAAUCAUACUAAUUUUUAACAUUACAAAAGGAAGAAAUUUUUAAUGGAAAGAAUCAAUUUACUCUUUAAUUUAAGUAUUUUUAAAUAAAUCAAUCAAAAACAUUAAUUACUCUUAAUACAAACAUCACCAGAAAACUUUUACGCGAUUUUGAUUUGUUACUUUGUAAAAUUUGUGGUCUAUUAUUUUCACUUCUCCCACAGCACCUUUUUCCCAAUUCUUUUAUAUGCAAAACGGGUGGUCCAUUCACUUUUUUUUUUGUUAUUCUGUUUUUGAGGAAAAAUCCAUUUACUUCUUUUAUACCUAAAUAUAACAUUCAAUUAUGUUAGUUGGGAAGAUUUGGGAGCUUUCAUAAUUAAUAAUUAAUUAGUGAAAAUAUUUAUUAUGACUUUACUAAAAAAUAAAAAUAUUUUUUUAGUAAAAAAUAACCGCCUAAAGCGAUUACAAAAAAAAUAUACCUCUUAAGAAUUAUGAAAGCUCCUUUUAUUAAUUUAAUAGAAGUUUUUGGACUAAAAUUGGAGGCUCUUCAAAAACGACUAAAUUUGGAGGACCAGGUAUACGAAAAGCAUAUUUACGGUAGACCCAUAUCCCACUUUCAUGUUCUAAAUGCAGACAAACAAAUGCAUUUAAAGCUACCAUCCAAAACAAUUCUUAUAUUAUCAUAUCAAGGGGUGUAGCCCAAGUUUAGCCAUGGCGUACAUCAACCACAUCAUAAUUCAAAGGAACCUAUAAAUAUAUCCCUACUGCCUGGUGUCAUCCAAAUGUAAAUAGUGUAAAAUAAGAAAGCUUUGAAAAUGGCUAAAUUCAACUGCCACCAUAUCAUAUUUCAUAUCCCUUGCUUUCAUAUGGGGUUGCACAGUUCAGUCUUUAGGCUUUAUCUAUGCCAUAAAGUUUCAACUCUCUUCUUUUUUAUGCUCUCCACUUAACAAUGUCUAUAGGUCUCUUAACUGUUUCAAUUUCUUUCUUUGCAAGUAAAGGAAAUCCGAUCCAGUAAAAAAGCUUCUCUCGAAUGGGAUGCCAUCACCGUACCAAAAAUUUAAAGCAUUUAAUCUCAGUUUGACUGCAUUGGAGGUGCAAGUUUCGGACACGGAAAAGGAAGAAAAUCACACACUGGUUUAUCUAUUUGUUUCACCCGAGGUACAUCCCAUGUGAGGCAAAAAACUGAAAAUCUGGGUGGUAUACCUGAAGCAGUUUUAGCCAGUUUUCCGUGGCUUGCAUAAG
rnacentral:lncRNA from 1 species